GUAAAAAUCUUAUUCACCCUGCUUUUAUGUGACUUUUAUGUUUUUAAAAGGAAUAAAUCUGCGUUCUCUUUGUAAUGCUUUUAUUGCUGUCGUUUACUGUUCUUGAUCUGUGUGUUCAAGCUGAUAACAAGUCAGCGCACACUGCUCAAUUUGCUCCACGGAAGUCAACUAGGGGGCGCUAGAGGGCUGCACAUGAGUUGCUGCUGUAGUGCUUUGUGCUGGACCGCCCUCAAUGCUGAUGAGAUCGCAGUGGUGCACCUGCACUGAACAUGCAGAAUGCAGUAAUCUGUGUAAUUAUUCUCCCAACAAACUGCAAAGUGCUUCAAAUGUAAAUCAAAUAUAAACCCAAUCCCCACUGCUCAGUGAUCAGAGGUGGAUGCAAAGAAUUGAGAGCGGGGAAGUCCUGCGGGUUUAAUUCUUCAUGCUUAAUCCUAAAAGAGUUGGGAGCAUUCGCCUCCUAGUCUUGUAUGUUUUCCUGUAUGUCCUUGUGUUGUACAAAUGAGUUUGAGAUGCUUCCAGGUUUCAUGAUGGUGAGCGAUCGUGUGCUCUGACAAUAAGAUAUGAUCCGCACCAUUAUCCCGAACAACGCGCUCUGAUAUUGUUUGGGGUUCAGCUCAGUUGGACUACAUGCCACAUCCUGGCACUGACUGCACCCGGAUCCCAUCAGGUCCUACAUCCCUGAUCUUUGUCCAAGUUUUGUCGAGUCAUCUUUAAAUCCCUUCAAAUUCUCACGUUACUCAUCUCCCACGAUCAUGUGAGUGACCUCCUCACUCACACCAGUUUUGGUUCAUUAAAAUGGGCUUUAUGGAUGGAUCCCUGGGUCAAAGUCUCCAAGCAUAAGGUGUUUUAGCUGAAGAGCAAGUUCCUCAGACCACAAGACGGUUCAGUGACGGGCCUCAGCGAAGCGACAAAUGGCUGCCAUGCUGCGGCUCCCCAGGCUCCUGUUUGUGGGUGUCUUCCUCCUGGUGGGCCUGCAGGGUGAACCAAGAGGAGAGGAGUCGAACCGAGACCAGAGGAGCAUCACCAAUGACCAGCCGCGCAUGCUGUCGGACAAUGGCAACCUCGUCUUCUCCACCGGAGACAACAAGGAGAUCCGAUUCCUGCCUUCGGCGUCAGGCCGGGUCAAAGUGGGCGAUGAAGACCUCACCCUACUUUUGAACCAGAUAAAAACAAAUAAAGAUGAAAUUGACAAAAUCAAGUCUCAAGGUGGCACAAUUCCUCCAGAAGUCACCAACAGACUCAACCAGCUGGACUCGAAGGUAGCGACACUGACCACUCAAGUGACUGCACUUGAGACAACCGUCCAGAGGGUUUCCUGCAGCAGCAACCCCUGCCAAAACGGUGGAACCUGCCUGAACCUGCUGAAUGCAUAUCACUGCAUUUGUCCCACCAACUGGGAGGGUCCGAACUGUGCCACUGAUGUGAACGAAUGCCAGGUGUAUUCUGGAACGUCGCGGGGUUGUCAGAACGGAGCAACGUGUGUCAACACCCCUGGAUCAUUCAGCUGCACGUGUUCUCCAGAGUGGUCUGGGAGUCAGUGCACUCAGCGGUAUGACGACUGCCGUAGUGGAGGGGCGAAUCUCUGUGUCCAUGGAACCUGCAUUGAUGCAGACCGAGUUACACCUGGAAUGCCGAAGUACCAGUGUGUGUGUGAAGACGGCUGGGAGGCCGCCGGCGGGAACCCAGCCUGUGUGGCAGACGUCGACGAAUGCAGCCUUCCCAGCAGGCCUUGUUCUACCAACCCAAUGGUUACCUGCACCAACACCCAGGGGUCAUUCUACUGCGGACCUUGUCCUGCUGGUUGGCAAGGAAACGGCUACAGCUGCCAGGAUGUGAACGAAUGUUUGACCAACAAUGGCGGAUGUUCUGUUGCUCCUCUGGUGCAGUGUCUCAACACCAUGGGCUCCUUCCACUGCGGCGCUUGUCCCCCAGGUUAUGAGGGAGAUGGCAGGACGUGCACCCAGACCAACAUCUGUGCCACCAACAAUGGAGGCUGUUACCCGCUGGCCACCUGCACUUCCACCCAGGGCUCCAACCAGCCCAUCUGCACCUGCCCUCCUGGCUACGUUGGUAACGGCUAUGGCCCAGCUGGCUGUACACAGUCCAGCAAUAUCUGUCAGACCAGCAACCCCUGCGUCAACGGUCAAUGUGUGGCCACCACCUCAUCUCCGGGCUACAUCUGUAACUGCAACGCUGGAUGGCAAGGAGUCAACUGUGACCAGAAUAUAAACGAGUGUCAGAGUAACCCGUGUCAGAACGGAGGAACGUGCACCGACGCUGUUAACGGGUUCACGUGUGCCUGCACAUCCCAGUGGACCGGCCCGCUCUGUCAAACAGCACAGCAAGAGUGUGGGGGCACUCUUAGCGGACCCAGCGGCUCCUUCAGUUAUCCAAACCCGGGUCAAGAUGAGUACGAUCACAGUGUCAGCUGUACCUGGGUGCUCCGGGUUCAGUACAACAAGAUUAUCCGUAUCACCUUUCCAUUCUUCCACCUGGAGAACAGCGCCAACUGCAACUACGACUUCCUGCAGAUCAAUGACGGGGACAACCCCUCUACCAAUGUGCUGGGGAAGUUCUGUGGAGAAAACAACCCACGGGAGCUCCGCAGUUCCCACAACUCUAUGUACUUCUGGUUUCGCUCUGACAGCUCCAUCAAUGCCGGUGGCUUCAAUGUUAGCUGGGUUUCUGAGAACCCAGUAUGUGGAGGUCAACUGACGACCACCUACGGAAGCAUCAACUCGCCUGGGUAUCCCGGAAACUACCCGCCCAGCCGGGACUGCUACUGGACCAUUUCAACUCAGCCGGGUCUCCUCAUCACCUUUACGUUUGCAACGCUUAACUUGGAGACUCAUUCUGACUGCAACUAUGACUAUCUUGAGAUCCGUGAUGGUCUACUACCCGAGGACCCUGUAUUAGGAAAAUACUGCAGCACUGGAUCGCCUCCACCUUUAAGAACCACUGGACCAAUGGCGUGGAUCCACUUUCACUCGGACUUCAGUGUGUCAGACCGAGGAUUCCACAUCACAUACUCCACGUCUCCAAGCACCCCUGGAUGUGGAGGCACAUACACCGACAGUGAAGGGAUCAUCAUCUCCCCCAACUGGCCCAACAACUAUGCCGUCAAUAGUCAGUGCAUCUAUCUGAUCAAGAUCCCAGCAGGCGAGAAGGUGUCACUCAACUUCACCCACAUGAACUUGGAGAGUCACAGCACCUGCGCUUUUGACUAUGUGGAGGUUCGUGACGGUCGUGCUGAGACCGAUCCGCUCAUUGGGAAGUACUGUAGUGACGUAAUUCCUGCUCCCAUCCUUUCGUCCUCCAACUAUCUCUGGAUUCGCUUCAAGUCUGACAGCUCGGUGAGCCGAGCAGGGUUCAGGGCGGUCUACACUGUUGCCUGUGGAGGUGUUUUGUCCGGGACAGGACAAAUAAAGUCCCCCUAUCAUCCGAAUGCCUAUCUUCACAACAAAGUCUGCGAGUGGGUCAUCAACCAGCCAGAGGGAUAUGUGGUCCAGUUCAACUUCCUAGCCUUCGACGUUGAGGGCGGAUCCUGUCGUUACGACUUUGUUGAGGUGAGGGAUGGCCCCACGUCCAGUUCCCCUGAGCUGGGAAGGUUCUGUGGCACCAGCAUCCCGCCCAGACUCCAGAGUACCCAGAGGUCCAUGUUCGUCCGCUUCAAGACCGACUCCUCCGUCAACAAUCUGGGCUUCCUGGCCGACUACAGCGCAGCCAUCGAGGGAUGUGGCGGGACGCUGACCGCUCUCACGGGCACUGUCACCAGCCCUGGCCAUCCAAACAACUACCCGCAUGGUGCCAACUGCACUUGGUACAUCAACGUUCCCCCUGGUAACCUGAUCCGGCUGACUUUCGACACCUUCAACCUGCAGUCCAACACGUUCUGCAGCUCAGACUACUUGGAAGUGUACGACAAUGGCACAGCGCAAACCGGGACUAAAAUUGGACGGUACUGCGGCCGGUCGGUCCCUCCGUCCAUCACCAGCACCGACAGCCUGCUGACUCUGCUGUUCGUGUCAGACUCGGGUUUGGCUUUGGAAGGCUUCUCUGCCAGUUACAUCUCCAUCAAUGCCAGCACAGCCUGCAGUGAGACCUUCAACUCCCCAACUGGCUCCUUCACUUCGCCAAACUACCCCAACUACUACCCAACCAACAGAGACUGCGUCUUUAAGAUCAUUGUUCAGGUCAACAUGCAGAUCAUGCUCAACUUCACCGACUUUGAGCUGGAAGGCACUGCUCCGAACUGCUACUAUGACUUUGUGGAAAUCAGGGAUGGUGGAUAUGAGACUUCCCCUUUAAUUGGCAAGUUCUGUUCCGUCCAGAGGCCUCCAAUCAUAGUCUCCCACAGCAACCGUCUCUGGGUUCGCUUCAGAUCGGAUUACAUCACCACGCGCCGAGGAUUCACGGCUCACUGGGAUGGCACUCAGACUGGAUGUGGAGGACAAUUGACGACCGCCACAGGAGGCUUUUCUUCGCCGAACUACCCGCUGCCUUACCACCCCAACUCCGAGUGCUACUGGAACAUCCGGACCAGCCAGGGCAGCCAACUCAUCCUGAACAUCGAUGAUUUCAGCCUGGAGUCCAGCGGCAACUGCUACUAUGAUUACCUUGCUGUUUUCGAUGGCAACAGCACAAAUUCUCCACAGCUGGCUAAUUUGUGCGGCACCUUGUCACCGAGCCCCAUCAACUCCUCUGGCAACAGCCUUUACAUCAAGCUACGCACUGACAGCAGCAUCCACGCCGGAGGCUUUAUUGCCUCGUACACCACGAAGUGCCAAGGAGUUCUCAUCUCCUCCCGGCACAGUGGGGUGAUAGAGUCGAUAAACUUCCCCAACCUCUACCCGGCCUACACCCAGUGCAGCUGGACCAUCCAGGCCAGCCGAGGAAACACAGUCAACUACACGUUCACCAGCUUCCAGCUGGAAGGUGGAUUCUUCUGUAGCUUUGACUACGUCAAGCUCUACGAUGGACCCAACACACAAGCACCUCUCAUUGGAACUUACUGCGGCAGCAGCCCGCCUCCAGCCCGCAGCACCACCAGUUCCUAUCUCACCAUCACAUUCAAGACUGAUGGCUACGGGUCCAUGCCUGGAUUCCAGAUGAUGUGGUAUCAGAACGGUUGUGGCGGGGACCUCUCUGGGCCCUCCGGGUCCUUCAACAGCCCCGGUUACCCCAACCGCUACCCCACCAACACCGAGUGCAUCUGGUCCAUCACCACUUCAGUGGGCAGUAGCAUCACUCUCACCAUCCACGAGUUUGAUGUGGAGUUUCACCCAGACUGUAAUUAUGACCUUCUAGAGGUGUAUGGCGGUCCAGAUCAGUUGGCACCUCGUCUGGCUCAACUCUGCUCCACCACAUCCACCCCGAUGCAAGUGUCCAGCACCGGCAACCAAAUAUUGGUCCGCUUCUUCUCGGACGAGUAUGUCAGUGGUCGUGGCUUCAAUGCCAGCUGGGUGGAAGUUCAAGGAGGGUGUGGUGGUCCAGUGACUGCCCCUGAAGGGGAGAUACAUUCCCCUCGAUACCCCAACAGCUACCCCAGCAACGUGGACUGUUCCUGGGUCAUCAGUGUGGACGCCAACCACCGUGUGCUCUUCAAUUUUUCUGACCUGGAGCUUGAGCAACAGAGUGACUGUGCCUAUGACUACGUGAUGAUCCAUGAUGGUCCAACCAUCUCGUCCCCGGUGCUCGCCCGUGUAUGUGGCUCCACGAUUCCACCAGCCAUCACAUCAACUCAGAACACAAUUUACGUUCGCUUCCGCUCCGACACCAGUAUCCAUCACCGUGGCUUCAGCGCUCGCUUCUCAGAGGCAUGUGGUUCGACGAUCACAACUGACGACGUAGGGGGAGCCAUUGCUUCGCCACGGUACCCAGCCAUGUACCCGCCCAACCAAAACUGCAGCUGGAUUAUCAGAGCUCAGGAGCCAUUCAAUCACGUGACCUUGUCCUUCACGGACUUCGAGUUGGACUCCAACACCAACUGCACCAGGGACUCAGUGAGGAUUUUGGAUGGCGAUAACUACCAAGCGCCCACUAUAGGAACGUUCUGCGGCAACAUGGUUCCUCACCCAGUGACCUCCUUCAGUAACUCCCUGGUGGUCAACUUCCUGUCUGAUGGUUCUGUGUCUGCAAAAGGCUUCAGAGCUACUUACUCUGCAUCCACCUCAAGUUGUGGAGGAGACAUGGUGAUGGAGAGUGGGGCGUUCAACAGUCCCAACUAUCCCGACGCUUAUCCACCUAACGUAGAAUGUGUGUGGACCAUCAAGAGCUCACCUGGGAACAGACUGCAGCUCUCCUUCAUUAUGUUCCAUCUGCAGGGGAGUUUUGGUUGCAACAACGACUACCUGGAGAUCCGCGAGGGGAACUCCGCUGGGCCUCUAGUGGGCCGCUUCUGCGGGGCCUCCCUCCCCUCAAAUUACACCUCAGUGACAGCUCACGAGCUCUGGGUCAAGUUUGUGUCGGACUCUUCCAUCAGUGGGGCGGGAUUCAGAGCCACAUUCUCACACUUAUACGGCAACGAAAUAACAGGGGAGUCCGGUCAGAUCGCCUCUCCACUGUAUCCAAGAACAUAUCCGAUGGACUCUUUCUAUACGUGGACGGUGACUGUGGACACUGGCAGCUAUGUUCAGGUCCGCUUCCUGGACAUCGACAUCGAGGACCUUUUUAACUGCUACUAUGACAACCUGAAGAUAUAUGACGGCCCAGGCGUUCAUCACUACCCUCUAGCUACAGUCUGUGGUCUCGCGUUGCCUCCACCGGUCCGGAGCACUGGCAGCGCCUUGACGCUGCAGUUCCGUUCAGAUGCCAUCAUCGGAGGACGAGGCUUCCUCGUCGAGUGGACCGCUGUCCAGGAAUCUGGACCACCACCCACUGUUCCCCCAGGGUCGUGUGGUGGAGUCCUGAUGGCCGGGCAGAACCCUGGCUUCUUCUUCUCUCCUGACUGGCCCAACGAAUACCCUGAAAACCAGGAGUGCAUCUGGUUGAUCCGCUCGCCAGACUCCAUCGUGGAGUUGAACUUGUUGUCAUUGGACAUUGAGGACUCACCAAGCUGUUACUACGACAGUCUCACCAUCAGAGACGGGGACAAUGCUUUGUCGCCGCUCUUGGCAAGUGUGUGUGGCCGUGAAGUCCCUGGGCCCCUUCACACAACAGGAGACACCAUGUACAUCACCUUCUCCUCAGACAGCUCGGUUAACGGCCGUGGGUUCAACGCCUCCUACUCACGAGGGUGUGGAGGCCUCCUGCAUGUGGACAGGGGCUCCAUCAGCAGCCCUAAUUACCCUCAGAACUACCUGCCCGGUCAGGACUGCCGUUGGCACGUGAUGGUCACACCUGGGUAUCGCAUCUCUGUCUCCUUCCAGAGCCCACUGCAGAUCCAAGGAUUUGGAGCAGAGUGCAACUCAGGAGACUACCUCGAGCUUAGGAACGGUCCAGACAUUUCUGCGCCUCUCCUGCACGAGCGUGUCUGUGGAACCACCGCUCCCACUGUCCUCCAGACCACUGACAACCACCUCUACAUUCGCUUUGUCACCGACGCUUCAAAUGAAGCUUCAGGGUUCAAGCUGACUUUUGAAGCUCACAGUCAAGCUUGCGGAGGCUACGUUUCGCUGGGAGACAACGAUCCUCCUGGCUACAUAACCUCCCCUAACUACCCGCAGAACUACCCGCAAAACGUCGACUGCAUCUUUGUCAUCACCGUGCCCAACGGAGAAGCCGUCCAACUGGACUUUGAAGAAGAAUUCUACAUCGAGCCCACAUCCAGCUGUGCGUUCGACUACUUGGAAAUCCGUGACGGCUCCACUAUCGGCGACGAUCUCAUUUCGCGGCUCUGUGGAAAAACCCUGCCGUCUACUCAGCACUCUACAGGUUCCUCCAUGCUGCUGCGGUUCCGGACAGACAGCAGUGUGACGCAUAAAGGCUUCAAGGCCAAGUUCUCGAUAGCAACAUGUGGCGGCACGUACAGAGCUCAGAGCGGCACCGUCCACAGUCCAGGCUUCCCUGGAUCCAACUACCCUGACGGCACCACCUGUGAGUGGUACUUCGAGGGACCCACCGGACAUUACCUGACCUUGAGCUACAACAGCUUCAACCUGGCCUACAGCACCGACUGCACUGCUGACUACGUUGAAGUCCGGGAAUACAACGCCUCAGGGCUCCGUCUGGGCCGACAUUGUGGCAACAGCCUCCCAGCUUCCAUGGAGACUUCCGACAGCUUCGCCUACGUCAAGUUUGUCAGCGAUGCCAGUGGAAACGCUCCUGGGUUCAGUCUGUCAUUUGAAGCGAGCGUGGAAGCCUGCGGAGGGUUGCUGAACGCUCCAUCUGGAACCAUUUCAUCUCCCAACUACCCAAACCUGUACCCACACAGCAGAGUGUGUCGCUGGGAGCUGCUGGUGCCCAACGGCCGCAGGGUCACGCUCACCAUCAACGACCUGCGGCUCGAAAGCACUGGCACUUCCUGUGUUUUUGACUACGUGGAGGUGAUUAACGGUCUGUGGGAGGACUCGCCUCGCCUGCAGAGGUUCUGUGGGACGGUACCAGCUGGCACUCAGGUCCGCUCCUCUGGAAACACCAUGGCUGUGGUGUUCCGCACUGACGCCUCCGUGUCUAACGGCGGGUUCACAGCUUACUACUCCUCCGAGGAGCCUGCAGUUUGUGGUGGGGUUCUGACCAACGCUCAAGGUGGGAACAUCACAUCCCCUGGGUACAUGGUGUCCAACUAUAGCAACAACGUCCACUGCGAGUGGCUGAUUCAGAACCCGCAGCACGUCAACUCGUCUAUUGUGGUGGAGAUAAUGGACCUGCACCUGCAGCAACACCAGACCUGCGCCAAUGACUACCUCCAGUUCAGACUCGGCGACUGGAACGGAGAACAGUUGGCCAAAUUCUGCGGUCAGACCAGGCCAACUAUUCCCAUCGUUGUCUUCACUCCGGAGCUCUGGGUCCACUUCCAAACUGACUCGUCUGUAGUUGAUGUGGGCUUCAUGGCCAAGUACUACUUCUCUGAGUGUGGAGGUUUACAGUCGGGAGACAGUGGGUCCUUGUCUAGUCCCAACUACCCCAACAACUAUCCCGGCCCGAGUCGCUGUGCCUGGCUGAUAGAAGCUCCAGAAGGUCACACCAUCACGCUAACCUUCACCUACUUUAACCUGGAGCUACACUCCACCUGCACAUGGGACUCGCUCACCAUCUUCAAUGGAGGCUCCCCAGGCUCCCCUGUGAUUGGCCAGUACUGUGGAACCACCAGUCCAGGAACCAUCAAGUCAGGAUCCAACAAGCUGGCGAUGGUCUUCCUCGCUGAUCACAGCGUGUCCCGGGGAGGAUUUGUGGCCACCUGGUCCUCAGACACUUCAGGAUGUGGAGGAGUGAUCCACGCUGACACUGGCACCAUCAAGUCUCCAAAUUAUCCGCAGAACUUCCCUGCCAAUGUGGAAUGUAGCUGGCGGAUCAUCGCCCACGAGGGCUACCACCUGCAGAUGAGCGUCAGCAGCGAUUUCCACAUUCCAGACAGCUCAGGCUCCUGCCAGAACAGCUACCUCAAGAUGUGGUCUGGGCCAAAUGAAAAUGCUGGAGAACUGCUGUCGACAAGCUGCGGCACUCAGGCUCCGCCCCUAGCCGUGGCUCCAUAUAACGUGAUGUCAGCCAGGUUCCAGUCCUCCGACUCCCCCGGCAAAGGGUUCUCAGCAUUCUUCAGCACCAGAUGUGGCGCCAACUUCUCAGCUCCCAGCGGGCGGGUCGUUUCUCCGGACUAUCCGGCACAUUAUCCUCACAGCUCCAUCUGCAACUACACUAUAGAUGCUGGUGACCAGACCGUUAUCGUUCUCACCUUCCAGGUCUUCCAUGUAGAAGCUCAUUCCACCUGUCUCUACGACGGCUUGAAGAUCUACGAUGUGUCUGCUGGCGGCCCCCCUGUGGCCACCUUGUGCGGUUCCACAGUUCCAGGAAUGUUCACCACUUUUGGUCCAAUGUUGCUUCAGUUCUACUCGGACAGCAUGAUCUCAGACACUGGGUUUUUGGCCCACUACAUAGCCAGCCCAUGUGGCGGCCUCUUCAACAGCACGUCAGGCACGAUAAGCAGCCCAGCCCUUUCGAUGGUCAAUUACCAUCACAACAUCAACUGCACUUACCACAUCGUGGUCACGGCUAACAGAGUCAUUGACCUCAAGUUCAACACCUUCGACGUGGAGGGCUCCUCCUCCUGUUACUUUGACUACGUCGCCGUGUAUGAUGGACAGGACACUCUGGCGCCGCUGCUGGGGAAGUUCUGCGGAAUGGCGAUCCCACCCAAACUCCGAUCCAGCACCAACCAGCUCUUCCUUGUCUUCAAGACGGACUCUUCGGGCAGUGGCAUCGGGUGGAGGGCCACUUACAGUGAGACUCUGGGCCCAGCCCAGGGAUGUGGCGGCUACAUGUCCAUGCCCAUGGGCAUGUUUGGUUCUCCUGAUCCAAAUCUGGACGGCAAAUACGAGAAGAGAAUGGACUGCACGUGGAUCAUUGAGAUGCCCAUCAACCAAGUCAUCAACUUGACAUUCAACUCCUUCAAUCUGGAGAAUUCUGGAUCCUGCCGCUACGACUACGUCAAAAUCUAUGACGGCGACAGUACCAGCUUCCCUCUUGUGGGGAAGUUCUGUGGGAACACCAUCCCUGCCUUCAUUCUGUCCGGUGGGAACUUCCUGACAAUUCAGUUCAUCACUGAUUCUUCAGUGGAGUAUGCAGGAUUUAAUGCGACGUACAGGUCAAUGCCAAUGGUGUGUGGAGGGGCGCUGAACGCCACCACGUCCCUGCAGACUCUGACCUCACCCUACUUCCCCAACGCCUACCCGGCUUACACCAACUGCCGCUGGACGCUGGACGCUCCGGCUCAGGAGACCAUCAAAGUCGUCGUGGAGAACUUUGCUCUCCAGCCGAGUCAGAGUUGCACCGGCAACUAUCUGCAGUUCAUGGACUUCCCAUUGGGAGACUACGGGCAGUCGCACAAGUUUUGUGCAGGAGACGGUCAUCCUCCUGACUUCUACAGCUACGGAAGGACCAUCCUGCUCCACUUCAAGUCUGACUCCUUCAUGACAGGGAACGGCCUCAAAUUGAACUAUCAAAUCGCAGGCUGCAGUCGGACAUACGAGCAGGAAUACGGCUACCUGAGGAGUCCCGGCUGGCCCGACGUCUACCCCCACGAUUUGGAGUGCUCCAUCGUCCUCAAGGCGCCGCCCAAUCACACCAUCUCUCUCUUCUUCAGCAGCUUUGAUGUGGAGUAUCACAGCUCUUGUCAAUUCGACUCCCUGGAGGUCCGUAACGGCAGCACAGCGACCGCUCCUCUCCUCGCUCGCUUGUGUGGCAGCACACUGCCCAACCCCGUCUUCCCCAAGACCAACCAGCUCUUCCUUCACUUCAGCAGCGAUUUUGUUGGCGCCCGUAAUGGCUUCGCUGCGACAUGGACAUCUUCGCCUCACGGUUGCGGAGGCACGUUGUACGGGGACCACGGGACGUUUGCCAGCCCCAACUACCCGGGCACUUACCCCAACAUGACCCACUGCGAAUGGGCCAUUAAGGCUCCCAGGGGCCGCGUGGUGACGGUCACAUUCAAUCAGAUCAGCAUCGACGACCCUGGCAGCUGUCAGAGCAGCUACCUGAUGCUCUACGAUGGCCCGAGCGCCACCUCCAGGCCUGUGGGCCCCUACUGUGGAAUGGAAUCCAACAUUGCGCCGUUCAGAGCCACGUCCCACCACGUUUACAUCGUUUUCCAAGCCGAGUACGCUUCCCUGCCUUCAGGAUUCAGGCUCACCUGGACCAGCUGAGGGCGCUCAAUCCGUCCUGCACCCUGACAGUCGAGUGCUGGACGUUCACGUCUUUGCUGCUGAGCCAACGAAUGAAAGGGAUCCUGUUUGGCUGAGCAACAAAACACAAUAUAUAUGAAGCAUAAAGGCACACAGGAGACUGAACCAGACUAAGGGAGGAAAUCUGAGGUUAUGAAACUCUGGAGGGCUUUGAAAGUGAUGUGCUGCUGGACUAGAGGUUUUGGAGGACAGGGGUGAGAGAACGCUUUUUCAAGUUGGUUUUGGUGAGUGAUGAUGAAGGUGAGGUUUUCUACAGAGGACCAGCAGAGUGAUAGAUGAGCAAGGCAUUUAUGGUUGUUUGGUUUAUUUCCCAUUUAAGAUGAAGCUGCUGGUGGCCAGCUGAGGUCAUAUCACCGCAUCAAGUGAGAUCCCUAGUGAGAUGUGGUGACCCAGUGGUGAGGAUUCUUGAAAGAGGCAAGUUAGGGCCCCUUCAUUUCUGCUGCUGCCCCUGCGAUCCAACCUCCGAUAAGUGGAAGAAAGAUUAUGUGUGAUUUGUGCAGCAAAGUUUGUGGGAAGAUUAAAAAGAGAGGGACAAGCUGAGAGUCUUGCAGAGGAGCGGAGGACGCUCUGCGCUCAUUGGUGUUGAAAUCGUGUUGAGGGGGUUGAUAUGUUGCAGGUUGUUUCCUUCUGUAGAGAGGAAGAAACCACUUCAACCCUGGAUCAUAGUGUCACUUCUGCAACUGUAAAGUGGACGGAUGAAUGACAAUGUUGAUUCUCAUGUGGUUGGUUGUUCAAAUCUCAAACUGCUCCAAACCUCAGCCGGCGUGUGAUGAGCGGACCCUCAACAAGUUGUAGCUGUUAUUAAAUGUCUUGGCCUGGGAUCAUUACUGCACUGCUGAGCUUAGCAGGCGACCCACUUGUCCGUCUGAUUAAUGCCUCU